UGGUAUAGCCUAGUGGUUAGGGUGUAAGUCUACAGCGCAGGUGACCAGCGUUCGAGUCCCUAGUCAG